CCUACGGGAGGCAGCAGUGGGGAAUAUUGCACAAUGGGGGAAACCCUGAUGCAGCGACGCCGCGUGAGUGAAGAAGUAUCUCGGUACGUAAAGCUCUAUCAGCAGGGCAGAAAAUGACGGUACAUGUCUACGAAGCCCCGGAUAACUACGUGCCAGCAGCAGCGGUAUUACGGAGGGGGCACGCGUUAUCCGGGUUUUCUGGGUGUAAAGGGCGCGUAAACGGGAGUGAAAGCAUGGAGGGAAAUCCUCUGGGUUAACCAUGGAACUGCUUUGGAAACUGGGCAGCUGGAGUGCAGGAGAGGGAAGCGGAAUUCCUAGUGGAGCGGUGAAAUGCGUAGAUAUUAGGAGGAACACCAGGGGCGAAAGCGGCUUACUGGACUGUAACUGACGUUGAGGCUCGAAAGCGUGGGGAGCAAACAGGAUUAGAUACCCGUGUAGUC
rnacentral:rRNA from 1 species